AGCCCUUAUACAUGCAAGUCGAACGAGAAAGUUCCUUCGGGAGCGAGUAAAGUGGCGGACGGGUGAGUAACGCGUAGGAAUCUACCUUUCAGUGGGGGAUAGCUCGGGGAAACUCGAAUUAAUACCGCAUACACCCUUCGGGGGAAAGGGGGCCUCUCCUUGGAAGCUCUCGCUGUUAGAUGAGCCUGCGUGAGAUUAGCUUGUUGGUAAGGUAAUGGCUUACCAAGGCUACGAUCUCUAGCUGGUCUGAGAGGACGAUCAGCCACACUGGGACUGAGACACGGCCCAGACUCCUACGGGAGGCAGCAGUAGGGAAUAUUGGACAAUGGGGGCAACCCUGAUCCAGGCAUGCCGCGUGUGUGAAGAAGGCCUUAGGGUUGUAAAGCACUUUAAGUGAGGAAGAAAAGAUUUAAAUUAAUACUUUAAGUCCCUGACAUUACUCACAGAAUAAGGACCGGCUAACUCCGUGCCAGCAGCCGCGGUAAUACGGAGGGUCCAAGCGUUAAUCGGAAUUACUGGGCGUAAAGCGCGCGUAGAUGGUUUAUUCAGUUGGGUGUGAAAUCCCUGGGCUCAACCUAGGAACUGCAUUCAAAACUUAUAAACUAGAGUACGAAAGAGGAGAGUAGAAUUCAUGGUGUAGCGGUGAAAUGCGUAGAGAUCAUGAGGAAUACCAGUGGCGAAGGCGACUCUCUGGUUCGAGACUGACAUUGAGGUGCGAAAGCGUGGGUAGCAAACAGGAUUAGAUACCCUGGUAGUCCACGCCGUAAACGAUGAGAACUAGCCGUUGGAUCUUUAGAUUCAGUGGCGCAGCUAACGCAUUAAGUUCUCCGCCU
rnacentral:rRNA from 1 species